rnacentral:rRNA from 1 species
GACGAACGCGGCGGCGUGCCUAAUACAUGCAAGUAGAACGCUGAAGGAGGAGCUUGCUUCUCUGGAUGAGUUGCGAACGGGUGAGUAACGCGUAGGUAACCUGCCUGGUAGCGGGGGAUAACUAUUGGAAACGAUAGCUAAUACCGCAUAAGAGUAGAUGUUGCAUGACAUUUGCUUAAAAGGUGCAAUUGCAUCACUACCAGAUGGACCUGCGUUGUAUUAGCUAGUUGGUGGGGUAACGGCUCACCAAGGCGACGAUACAUAGCCGACCUGAGAGGGUGAUCGGCCACACUGGGACUGAGACACGGCCCAGACUCCUACGGGAGGCAGCAGUAGGGGAAUCUUCGGGCAAAUGGGACGGGAAAGUUCUGACCCGAGCAAACGCCCGCGUGAAGUGAAAGAAAGGGUUUUUCGGGAUUCGGUAAAAGGCUUCUGUUG